rnacentral:rRNA from 1 species
AUUGAACGCUGGCGGCAUGCCUUACACAUGCAAGUCGAACGGCAGCACGGGUGCUUGCACCUGGUGGCGAGUGGCGAACGGGUGAGUAAUACAUCGGAACGUACCUUAUCGUGGGGGAUAACGCAGCGAAAGUUGCGCUAAUACCGCAUACGCCCUGAGGGGGAAAGCGGGGGACCGUAAGGCCUCGCGCGAUUAGAGCGGCCGAUGUCUGAUUAGCUCGUUGGUGAGGUAAAAGCUCACCAAGGCGAUGAUCAGUAGCUGGUCUGAGAGGACGAUCAGCCACACUGGGACUGAGACACGGCCGAGACUCCUACGGGAGGCAGCAGUGGGGAAUUUUGGACAAUGGGGGCAACCCUGAUCCAGCAAUGCCGCGUGAGUGAAGAAGGCCUUCGGGUUGUAAAGCUCCUUUGUCAGGGAAGAAACAGCAGCUCUAACACAGUCUGCGAAUGACGGUACCUGAAGAAUAAGCACCGGCUAACUACGUGCCAGCCGCCGCGGUAA